UGAGGAAUAUUGGUCAAUGGGCGAGAGCCUGAACCAGCCAAGUAGCGUGCAGGACGACGGCCCUAUGGGUUGUAAACUGCUUUUAUAAGGGAAUAAAGUGAGUCUCGUGAGACUUUUUGCAUGUACCUUAUGAAUAAGGACCGGCUAAUUCCGUGCCAGCAGCCGCGGUAAUACGGAAGGUCCGGGCGUUAUCCGGAUUUAUUGGGUUUAAAGGGAGCGUAGGCCGGAGAUUAAGCGUGUUGUGAAAUGUAGACGCUCAACGUCUGCACUGCAGCGCGAACUGGUUUCCUUGAGUACGCACAAAGUGGGCGGAAUUCGUGGUGUAGCGGUGAAAUGCUUAGAUAUCACGAAGAACUCCGAUUGCGAAGGCAGCUCACUGGAGCGCAACUGACGCUGAAGCUCGAAAGUGCGGGUAUCGAACAGGAUUAGAUACCCUGGUAGUCCGCACGGUAAACGAUGGAUGCCCGCUGUUGGCCUGAAUAGGUCAGCGGCCAAGCGAAAGCAUUAAGCAUCCCACCUGGGGAGUACGCCGGCAACGGUGAAACUCAAAGGAAUUGACGGGGGCCCGCACAAGCGGAGGAACAUGUGGUUUAAUUCGAUGAUACGCGAGGAACCUUACCCGGGCUUGAAUUGCAGAGGAAGGAUUUGGAGACAAUGACGCCCUUCGGGGCCUCUGUGAAGGUGCUGCAUGGUUGUCGUCAGCUCGUGCCGUGAGGUGUCGGCUUAAGUGCCAUAACGAGCGCAACCCCUCUCCUUAGUUGCCAUCAGGUCAUGCUGGGCACUCUGGGGACACUGCCACCGUAAGGUGUGAGGAAGGUGGGGAUGACGUCAAAUCAGCACGGCCCUUACGUCCGGGGCUACACACGUGUUACAAUGGCAGGUACAGAGAGACGGUCCCUUGCAAAAGGGAUCAAAUCCUCAAAGCCUGUCUCAGUUCGGACUGGGGUCUGCAACCCGACCCCACGAAGCUGGAUUCGCUAGUAAUCGCGCAUCAGCCAUGGCGCGGUGAAUACGUUCCC
rnacentral:rRNA from 1 species